rnacentral:tRNA from 1 species
AAGGGCUUAGCUUAAUUAAAGUGUCUGUUUUGCAUGCAGAUGAUGUAAGUUUAUACUUGCAGUCCUUA